CCUACGGGGGGCAGCAGUGAGGAAUAUUGGUCAAUGGGCGCGAGCCUGAACCAGCCAAGUAGCGUGAAGGAUGACUGCCCUACGGGUUGUAAACUCCUUUUAUAAAGGAAUAAAGUGAGGCACGUGUGCCUUUUUGUAUGUACUUUAUGAAUAAGGAUCGGCGAACUCCGUGCCAGCAGCCGCGGUAAUACGGAGGAGCCGAGCGUUGUCCGGAUUUAUUGGGUUUAAAGGGAGCGUAGAUGGGUUGUUAAGUCAGUUGUGAAAGUUUGCGGCUCAACCGUAGAAUUGCAAGUGAUACUGGCAGACUUGAGUACAGUUGAGGUAGGCGGAAUUCGUGGUGUAGCGGUGAAAUGCGUAGAUAUCACGAGGAACUCCGAUUGCGAAGGCAGCUUUCUAAACUGCCACUGACAUUGAGGCUCGAAAGUGUGGGGAGCAAACAGGAUUAGAUACCCGAGUAGUC
rnacentral:rRNA from 1 species